rnacentral:lncRNA from 1 species
UCAGAGAUAAAAAAAUACUAAUAAAGAGAAACGGCUGGUUUUUUGGAAAACUUUGAAGAAACACUGAAAUUCCUGCAUUUCUUUGGUCCAAAUUGGUUUAAAUUUGCCUUAAAAUUUCAUAGUUAAUUAAAGUGUUUUGAGACUCCAAAGGUUGUUGUUCAUUUGGGUUCUCUACUGGUUUGAAGAAGCUGGGCUUUGUUUGGUAUUGCUGGGUGAAAAAAUAUUUUGAGUUUGGAGUUAAAAGUUUUGGUUUGAGCUGCUGAUUUUGCCACUGUUACAUUGAUGUUCUGCUGCUGCUGCUAAUUCCUCAUUCUCUUUAUUUUUCUCUUUAAUUUCCAGGUAUUUCUUCAAACUAUGAACAACAUGUUGAAGGUUGAAUUUGUGAUUUCAAAUGUGAAACAUGACUGAAUACAAGCUUCUCUGAAUUUUACUGUCCUUGUUGCUUCCCUUUUUAGUAAUUUGUAAUAGUUUGAUCUUAUGCAUGUUGUAUUAACUCUCUCAUGUUAUAGAUAUGGUAUAAGCUAAGCUACUGUUGUUUCUUUCUAUUUGAUUCUGUUGGGAGUAUAAUGUAGUUCUUGGAUUCAAGUUGGUUGCACUUUUGAGCUUAUGAGGUGUUUUGCUACUGUCUUGCAUUAGAGAACAAUUUAAUGAAAGUUUAAAUUCCAUAGUCUUUAAGUUAAGUGAAAAACUCUCUUUGUUGGGAAUUAAUUGUUUUGGUUCAAGUUGUUAUUCAUUUAAAGGUUACAAUUAAUUGACGUGUGGUUUUACCUCUUUUAUAUGUUUGAUUUGGUACGUGAAUGAGUUCAAUAAUAUGUUGAGGUAUUUUGAUUCCAGUUGAAUGCUUAGAAAAUUAUGUUAAAAGUCAUUGUGUAGGAACUAUGAGAUUAAUUUCUGUUGUUGCAACGAGCAGUACUUCAAUUUUUGUUUCUCUGCAUAAUUGCAUUUUAGCUAGACAAUGCACUUUAUGAUUUCCUUGCUUGAAUUGUUCAAAUAUAGUUGGGUGUGGACCAUGGAAAGUCGAUUUAGAGCCCAAGGCUCUUGAGGAUCAAGCUUAUCUUUUUUCAUGGGGAUUUGAACUUCAGUCUCAUGCCUUUACAUUGAUUUCAAGAUCUGUUUUGGGCUUAAACUUGAGGCCUCUCAAAAUGGGAGAUUUGAGGUCUGCGGUUUCUUUGGGCUUAUAUUUGAGCCCAAGUCCUUUCUUAUUUGGAUGCGGCUGCAUUGCAAAAGCAAUUGGGCUUGCUGUCAGAUUGAAUUUUAAAAUAACCAAAGUGGUGAUUGUUUUUUUAACACAAAGCCUUAUUUUUAUUAGUUUUAGUUUGAACAUUAGCCUAAAAAGUAAUUCUAAUUUCUUUAAACCUUCCUUAAUUAGUUAGAUUCUUAAAAUUAGUUUGAGGUGUGCCAUAUUAGCCAAACGUACAAUUUAUGGCCCUCAAAAAUUAAACUUAGAAAGCCCUUUUGUAAUAAAUUGAGGCGUGUCAUGCCAAAUAAAACCCCUAAGCUCAUGGACCUCACAAAACUAGUUAGCUUUUAUAGAAAAUUUGAGGUGUGCCAUUUUCAUUAAAUAACUCAUGGCCCUUGUGUAAUUAAUGCUAACUCUUCGAAAAUCGAAUUGUGCCAUCAAUUAAAUUUUCCACGGCCCUCGCAAACUUUGUUAUUAAUUUGGAAUUUCGUAGCUGCUUUAGACGUGCUAUUUAAAUUGAUUCUCUUUUGUUAAAUCCGGGUGUGCAUUUCAUGUGAUCCAAUUUUAAUUCUUAACAACGUUAAAUAGAACGUGUCGCGAAUUGCGGGUGCAUUUCAUGUGGCGUGGUUCAAGGCAUGUUUUAAAUAACGUUGAAAAUUGGAUAACGUUUUAAAUGCACAAUAGGUUAAAAUGUGUAGUAAAUCGGAUAAUAGGACAAUUAUUAAUAGUUUAAGCGACCGUGUUAGAACUAUGGAACUUGGGAAUGCCUAACACCUUCUCCCGGGUUAACAGAAUUCCUUACUUAGAAUUUCUGGUUCGCAGAUUUCAAAAGGAAAGUCGAAUUUCCUCGAUUUGGGAUUUAAAAUAAACCGGUGACUUGGGAUACCAAUUAAAAUAUUCCAAGUGGUGACUCUGAAUUGAAUAAAUAAUCCCAUUUCGAAUAAUGUCACUUAAAGUGGAAAAACUCCCUUAUCCCCUUUCGGGCGAUAAAAAGGAGGUGUGAUAGAGAUAUUAUCCAUCUUUUUGAUAGAUACAAUAUUCUUUGAUCAAUGUAGCACAUUUUCUUAUUGAAAUAUUCCAUGUCAUCUCCUUCAAUCUUUUGGUUUCUUUCCUUUAUUUUUCUUGUACCAAUCUUCUAAAGAUCUUCUAUAAUUUUUUUCAUAUUUUCUUUGAUACAUUUUGAAACUUUCUUCCAGCAAGGUAAAUCAUCUCAAUAAAUAUCAAUAAUAUCCUAUAUAAAAGAAGUGUGCAUUAUAUAUAUUUGUUCCUCAACUUUGUCGUAAAUCAACCAUCAUUCUUCCAUCUGCUUUCCACAAUAAACCUGUACUAAUAAAACAAAUUUACCACAAGUAAAUAUUCUUUGAUUAAACCCUUAUGUUGGUUUGUUAUCAUCAAAAUUAGUCUAUGAAACUUUGGGCUAACACCAUCUGUAAUAAGAAAAGAAUGUUGCUUGAUAAGUAGCUGCUCUAGAAAGACAAAUAAGUAUCACGACCCAAAACCCUAACCUGUCGUGAUGACACCUAACAUGAUACUAGGCAAGCCGACAUUUCCAAAAUAUUCCCAAAAAUUACCACAAAAUGAAUCAAAAUAGUUUUAAAUAAUAAAAGUUUUCAUAAAUGGGGUAAAAACCCAAAAUACAAAUGCGUAAAAUUCCCAAAUCAAGGUGUCACUGAGCCCAUGAGUAUCUAUACAUCACCAGUCUAGAAAAGAAGUGGCUAUGAAAGUCUAGAUAUAAAUACAAUAAAAGAAAAAGAUAUGGAAUGAUAAACAAGGACUGCGAACGCGGGCAGCUACCUUGAAGUCUCCAAAGAUCAGUUGUGCACGAUAUCAACACCCACCGUGUCCAGAAAUACCUGGAUCUGCACAUGAAGUGUAUGGUGUAGAAUGAGUACAACCAACUCAGUAAGUAACAAGACUAAAUAAAGAACUGAAGAUAGUGACGAGUUACGUAGUUAUAGUUCAUUUUCAAUAGUCUCAACAAAUGAAAGUAGGCAUACUUUCAAAUCCGGCAAUUUAAGUCAAAUCAGUUUAUACAAGCCAUGUUCAAGUAAAAACCGGAUAUAAUAUCUCGCAGAAGUUCAAAAAGUGAUAUAUGGAAGCUAUGUGCAACAACAAUGAAAGAAAAUAUAGCCUAUCAGGGCAAUAGUCACUCAGACUUUCUCAAUAGCUCAUCACCCGGCACUCAGCACUCAACACUCGCACUCAAGAGGUACCUGCACUCACUGGGGGUCUACAAACUCCGAAGAGGCUCCUACUGCCCAAGAUCUAUAUCCACAUGGAUAACUCACGUGCUGCACGGACAACUCACAUACGAUAGUAUCAUAUCAGGAUCCGCACGGACAACUCACGUGCUACAGUAUAAGUAUCUGGAUCCGCACGGACAACUCACGUGUUAUGAUAUCGAUAUAUCACAAUCAGGCCCUUGGCCUCACUUAGUCAUCAACCUUUAUAGUCUCACGGGCUCUCAGUAAUCAUGGAAAUCAACCCAAAACAGAAAUGAUAUAACGUAUCAAUAAGGAAUAACAGAUACUGAGGUAAGAUAUGCAAGUAAGACUGCGACUGAGUACAAGUAGCAAUUAGCAAGUAAUUCAACAGGUAUCACGGCCUCUGUGGGUCCCUACAGUACCAACACAUAGCCUAAACAUGAUUUCUGACAUGAUAUACAGUCAAAUUUCUAUAACACAUGGAGAGCAUAUAGCUAACAAAGUUAUUCAACUUUACAGUUCCACGAAAUGGACCAAGUCACAAUUCCCAUGGUGCAUGCCCACACGUCUGUCACCUAGCACGUGCUUCACCUCUAAAACAAUCAAAUAACCCAUAGUCCGAGGUUUCAUACCCUCAGAUUCAGAUUUAGAACUGUUACUUACUUUAAUCCGAGUCAAAACUCUACUCCAAUAUGCCUUUACCUCGCAAAUCGGCCUUCAAAUGUCCCGAAUCUAGCCACAAGCAAUACAAUCAAUACGGGAUAAAGGAAUAAAUUCCACAAGAAAAAUACAAAAUUAUGAAUCAAAAUUCAAAAUCGAUUUCAAGUUGGCCCUCAGGCCCACGUUUCGAAAUCCAACAAAAGUCACAAAACCCAAAAUCUCAUUCAAUCACGAGUCUAGUUAUACCAAAUUUAUCAAAAUCCGACAUCAAAUCGACACUCAAAUCCCCAAAAUCAACUCUCCAAAUCUCUAGCCUCAAAUCCCCAAAUUACACCUAAAAACACAUUAACUAGGUGGGAAAAUCAAUGGGAAAACAUAAUUAUUGAAGAAAUUUAACCACACGUGACUUACCUCAAGAAUCCCUUCAAAAUAUGUCUAAAAUAUUUCCCAAUUCCGAGUCCAAAAUGUUAAAAUGAUGCCAAAAAUAGUGAACCCUAGCAUUUAUAUGUCCUGCAUGGUUAAACCGCACAUGCGGUCCCAAAAUCUGCUUCUGCGGAAGUCACUUAACCCAGCUGCCUCCGCUUAUGUGACACUUGACCCGCAUCUGCGGCCUUGUAGGUGCGGAAGAAUCUUUGCACCCGCACCCCUAACUUAUCUCUUCUUUACCCGCUUCUGCGGGCUCGCACCUGUUGUUCCCACUCCGCAUGUGCGAUUACACCAGCAGUGGAAGUUCUUCAGCAACUUUACAACUUCAAAACUUGAGUCAUUAAUCACUCGAAAUCAACCCGAGGCUCCGGGACCUCAACCAAACAUACCAACACAUCUUAAAACAUCAUACGAACUUAAUCGAAUCCUCAAACCACCUCAAACAACAACAACAAAAACACGAAUCGCACAUAGAUUCAACCCUAAUGAACUUUAAAAUUUCCAAAUUCUACAAAUGAUGCCGAAACCUAUCAAAUCACGUCUGAUUGACCUCAAAUUUUGCACACAAGUCACAAAUGACACCACGGACCUAAUCUAACUUCCGAAAUCCCAAUCCGACCCCGAUAUCAAAAGUCCACUCCAGGUCAAACUUCUCAAAAUUUCAACUUUCACCAAUUCAAGCCUAAUUCCACUACGGACCUCCAAAUCAUAAUCUGGACACGCUUGUAACUCUAGAAUCACCAAACAUAACUAACGUAACCAUCAAAAUUGAAAUAUGAGGUCGUUUACACAUAAGUCAAUACCUGUCAAUCUUUCUAACUUAAGCUUUCAAUUAUGAGACUAAGUGUCUCAAUUCAUUCUGAAAUCCUUCCGAACCUGAACCAAUUAACCUGGUAAGUCAAAUAAUAGUUGUAAAGCAUAUAAGGAGUAGGAAAAUAGGAAACGGGUCUACAACUCUCGAAAUGACCGUCCGGGUCAUUACAUCCUCACCCUUUGAAACAAACGUUCAUCCUCGAACGGAUCUAGAAAAAUACCUGGAGUCACAAAUAGGUGUGGAUAUCUGAUCUAAAUCUCUCACUCAAUCUUUCAAGUAGCCUCCUCAACGAGCUGACCUCUCCACUGCACCUUCACUGAAGUUAUGUCCAUUGACCUCAAUUUUCAAACCUGCCGAUCUAAAAUGGCCAUCGGCUCCUUAUCAUAAGUCAAAUCACCAUCCUCUUGGACAGUACUGAAAUCCAAAACAUGAGACGGAUUGCCGAUAUACUUCCAGAGCAUAGAAACAUGAAAUACUGGCUGCAUACUUGACAAACUAGGUGGCAAGGCAAGCUUGUAAGCCACCUCCCCAAUCCUCUGAAGUACCUCAAAAGGACCAAUAAACUGAGGGCUCAACUUGCCCUUCUUCCAGAACCUCAUAACACCCUUCAUGGGUGAAACCUUCAACAGAACCUUCUCCCCUACCAUGUAAGACACACCACAAACCUUCCUAUCGGCAUAACUCUUCUGUCUAGACUAAGUCAUGCGAAGCCGCUCCGGAAUCAGUUUAAACUUGUCCAAUGCAUCCUGAACCAAGUCAGUACCCAAUAGCCUAGCUUUACCCGGCUCAAACCAGCCCACCAGAGAUCUAUACUGUCUCCCAUACAAAGCCUCAUACGGAGUCAUCUGAAUGCUCGACUAAGAGCUUUUGUUGUAAGCAAACUCCGCGAGCGGCAGAAAUUGGUCCCAUGAACCCCCUAAAUCAAUGACACAAGCGCGUAGCAUACCUCUAAUAUUUGAAUAGUGCGCUCGGACUGUCCGUCCAUUUGAGGGUGAAAUGUUGUACUCAACUCAACCUGAGUGCCCAACUCUCGCUGCACGACUCUCCAAAACUACAAUGUAAACUGCGUGCCUCUAUCUGAAAUGAUGGAAACUGGCACACUAUGAAGGAGAACAAUCUCUCAGAUGUAAAUCUCAGCCAACAACAACAACAACAACAACAACCCAGUAUAAUCCCACAAGUGGGGUCUGGGGAGGGUAAUAUGUACGCAGACCUUACCCCUACCCCGAAGGGUAGAGAGGUUGUUUCCAGGAGACCCUCGACUCAAAAAAGCAACAUGAGCCGAUAUAUUAGUACCAUAAAAAUGCAUAAUAAAAUAACAGCAACAUAAGAGAUAUGAAAUACAGAAUACGAAAUACGAAAUAGAUGGUCGGUAUAGUAAAACUAGCAGGUAAAGCCCUGCAUCAAUAGAUGACCAAUGACAUUCUUAGUCUAACUCCUAACUGGCUAGUCUCACUCUAUUGUGCUGUAGAAAUAUUCACAACUUUCCCCUAACCUAAACCUUAAUGCUCGACCUCCAUAAUUCCCUGUCAAGGGCCAUGUCCUCAGUAAUCCUAAGUCGCGCCAUGUCCUGUCUGAUCACCUCUCCCCAAUAUUUCUUAGGUUGCCCUCUACCUCUCUGCGUGCCCACCACAGCCAGUCGCUCACACCUCCUCACCGGUGCAUCAGUACUNNNNNNNNNNNNNNNNNNNNNNNNNNNNNNNNNNNNNNNNNNNNNNNNNNNNNNNNNNNNNNNNNNNNNNNNNNNNNNNNNNNNNNNNNNNNNNNNNNNNNNNNNNNNNNNNNNNNNNNNNNNNNNNNNNNNNNNNNNNNNNNNNNNNNNNNNNNNNNNNNNNNNNNNNNNNNNNNNNNNNNNNNNNNNNNNNNNNNNNNNNNNNNNNNNNNNNNNNNNNNNNNNNNNNNNNNNNNNNNNNNNNNNNNNNNNNNNNNNNNNNNNNNNNNNNNNNNNNNNNNNNNNNNNNNNNNNNNNNNNNNNNNNNNNNNNNNNNNNNNNNNNNNNNNNNNNNNNNNNNNNNNNNNNNNNNNNNNNNNNNNNNNNNNNNNNNNNNNNNNNNNNNNNNNNNNNNNNNNNNNNNNNNNNNNNNNNNNNNNNNNNNNNNNNNNNNNNNNNNNNNNNNNNNNNNNNNNNNNNNNGAGUUCUUUAUCGGCCAACAUUCAGUUCCAUAUAACAUGGCAGGCCUAACCACUGCUCUAUAAAACUUACCUUUUAGUAACGGUGGCACUUUCUUGUUACACAAGACUCCCAAUGCUAACCUCCACUUCAUCCACCCCACCCCUAUAUGGUGUGUGACAUCCUCGUCAAUCUCCCCGGUCCCCUGGAUAACCGAUCCAAGGUACUUGAAACUACCCCUCUUGGCAAUGACUUGAGAGUCAAGCCUCACUUCAACUCCCGCUUCCAUCGGCUCAACUCAAAAUUUGCACUCGAGGUAUUCCUUCUUCGUCCUGCUCAACUUGAAACCUUUAGACUCAAGAGCAUGUCUCUAAAUCUCUAUCCUCUCGUUGACGCUGCCUCGUGUCUCGUCAAUUAGAAUAAUGUCAUCAGCAAAUAGCAUGCACCAUGGCACCUCCCCUUGAAUAUGAUGAGUCAGUGCAUCCAUCACCAGGGCAGAUAGGAAUGGGCUGAGCGCAGACCCUUGGUGCAACCCCGUAAUAACUGAAAAGUGUUCAGAGUCGCCUCCUACUGUCCUAACCCGAGUCUUACCUCCAGCAUACAUGUCUUUAAUCACCCUAAUAUAGUCAACCGGGACCCUUUUAUCCUCUAAGCAGCUCCAUAAGACCUCCCUAGGAACCCUAUCAUAUGCUUUCUCCAGAUCAAUAAACACCAUGUGGAGAUCCUUCUUCCUAUCCCUGUACUGUUCCACCAUCCUCCUAAUAAGGUGGAUAGCUUCUGUGGUAGAUCGCCCCGGCAUGAACCUGAACUGGUUGUCUGAAAUAGACACCGUCCUUCGCACUCUCAUUUCUACCACUCUCUCCCAAACUUUCAUGGUAUGACUUAGUAAUUUGAUGCCCCUAUAGUUGUUACAGCUCUGGACAUCACCUUUGUUCUUAUACAACGGGACCAUUGUACUCCACCUCCACUCUUCAAGCAUCCUAUUAGUCUUGAAUAUAACACUAAAUAAUGCAGUAAGCCAUUCCAAGCCUGCUCUACCCACACACCUCCACAGUUCAACCGGAAUUUCGUCUGGCCUGGUAGCUCUGCCCCCUCUCAUCUUAUGCAUUGCCUCCAUGACUUCAUCAAUAUCAAUGUCCCUACAAUUACUUAAUUCAUGGUGAUUGUCGGCAUUCCUCAAUUCCCCAAGUAUAAUAUCCUGAUCCCCUUCUUCGCUUAGAAGUUUAUGAAAGUAGGUCUGCCACCUCUUCCUAAUCUGGUCAUCUCCCAUCAAAACUUUGCCGUCAUCAUCUUUUAUGCACCUCACUUGGUCCAGAUCCCGAGUUGUCCUCUCUCUCGCCUUAGCGAGUCGAAAUAACUUCUUCUGCCCACCUUUGUUCCUUAGUUCCUCAUACAGAUGAGCAAAAGUUGUCGUCUUAGCCUCCAUCACUGCCAUCUCCGUCUCCUUCCUAGCUACCUUAUACCUUUGACUGUUCUCUCUCUUCUCCUCCUCGUCAGUGCUCCCUACUAACCGUAGGUAAGCUGCCUUCUUUGCUUCCACUUUACCUUGGACAACUGCAUUCCACCACCAAUCUCCUUUGUGGCCACCAUUGCGGCCCGUAGAUAUCCCUAACACCUCUCUCGUCGCCUUUCUUAUACAGUCUGCCAUCGUCGACCACUUUGUGUUUGCGUCNNNNNNNNNNNNNNNNNNNNNNNNNGCUAAUGACAUUUAAAGUACCCUCACCCACCACCAACUUAAUAGUCAUUAGUCUAUCAUUCACCCGCCUGACCUCUACCAUGGACUCUCUAAGAUGGCUAUCUACCAGGAUACCCACUCCAUUCUUACCCCUCAGGACACCAGAGUACCACAACUUAUACCCAUCCACGUUUUUCGCCCUCGAUUCGACCCACCUAGUCUCCUGGACACACUCUAUAUUAAUCUUCCUCUUCUGCAGGAUUUUCGCCAACUCUAUGGAUUUACUCGUUAGUGAACCUAUGUUCCAUGACCCGAUUCUCAACCGAUAGGCUCCCUUGCCCCCUCUACCUCCCAUGCUACCCGACCCACCCCCUAACCCCAGCCCCACACUCUUCCCCACCCGAGGACAUGCCCUUAUUCUAUCAUCCCAGACUGCAGCCACUACACCUACAACAAUCUAGAGAAGACUCGCUAGUGCACAACGGACAAUAAAUCAAACCAGAAGGAAACCAGUGGUAACUAGUAUCCUAGAUGAAAGGUUUAACUAUUGCGAAGUAAAGUAAUAGUAAUUUAGCUAACACCAAAAGGGAAAUAGUAAAACAGGAGGUACCAACUCCCGAUAACAAAACCUGUGGCUGAUUUGUUGUACUCGAUGUAGUUGUACGCUCACGCACCACUUCCUACAGCCCUUUGCUGACACUCGCCCAGGUUGCUUUCCUUUGCCAGUGCUCGUGCGCCCAACUUGUCUCCAAUACUCCGAGAAUUCCUGAAAACACAGAAAAUACCACGACCCAAAAAUUAGAAGGAGCUAUCACCGCUACCACUGGUAUAGCCCCAACAAUAUAAAAUGUACUAGGAAAGGAGAAGAAGAAAACGAGAAUAUAAGGGGGUGGGGGCAGAUUUGGGACGCAAAAGGACAAAACCAAUAAACCUAAAAGGAAUGUUAAAAAUAAAAGGACAAAACAAAAAGAGAAACAACUACAUGAAAUUAUCUUCACCACGAAAUUAUAAAAAAGAAAAAACUAAAAUAGCAAAAAUGAUAAAAUUUAUAAGGAAAUUUCGAUGUAGGUCAACUCUACUUAACUUAGCAUUAAUGAAAUUAUCUUGCGCUUAUUAAUUAAAAAUACAAAAAUGAGAAAUUUAGUUGGCAAAUGUGUAAAGAGCAGAACAACGACGUGUAAUAACAGAGAAGGUUACUUUUUUACAAGUAAAUAAAGCAGCGAUAGAGUAAAAAAGUAAAACGUUAUCUUACCGGAAAAUGCGAACGGAGGAUUUGCUAACGCCAGAGAAUCGAUUGGGUGGAAAUUGAAUGUUCUGAGUAAAGCUUAUGAAGUACUCCCUUUCUAAGCCAACCGAUCUGAAAAAUAAGUAGUACUCCCUCCGUUCCAGUUUAUGUGAAUGUAUUUCCUUUUCUGUUCGUUCCAAAAAGAAUGACCCCUUUCUAAAUUUGGAAAUAAUUUAGCUUAAACUUCCAAUUCUAUCCUUAAUGAGAAGCUUUUAUAACCAUAUAAAUACUUUGGGUCAUAUUUUGAUUUGUUUAGGACCACAAAUUCCAAAAGUCUUCAUUUUUUUGUUAAACUUCGUGUCUAGUCAAACAUGUUCAUAUAAAUUGGAACAGAGGGAGUACCAACUUGAAUGAAGUACACAGACUUGGUCAGCCAAUCCACAAUCACCCAAAUAGCAUCAAACUUCCUCGAAGUCCGUGGGAGCCCAACUACGAAAUCGAUGGUGAUCCUCUCCCACUUCCACUCUAGAAUCUCUAUCCUCUGAAGCAAUCCACCCGGUCUCUAAUGCUCAUAUUUUACCUGCUGACUGUUAAGACACUGAGCUACAAAUCCCAAUAUAUCUUUCUUCAUUCUCCUCCACCAAUAAUGCUGCCUCAGGUCCUGGUACAUCUUCGUGGGACCCGGAUAGAUGGAAUACUACGAGUUGUAGGCCUCAUCUAGAAUAAACUCCCGUAACCCAUCUACAUUGGGCACACAUAUUCGACCAUGCAUCCUCAACACGCAAUCAUCCCCAAUAGUAACAUCUCUAAUAUCACCAUGUUGUACCUUGUCCUUGAGGACAAGCAAAUGAGGAUCAUCAUACUGGCACUCUCUGAUGUGAUCAAAUAUGGAAGACCGAGAAACCAUACAGGCUAAAACCCAACUGGGAUCCGAAACAUCUAAUCUCACGAACUGGUUAGCCAAGGCCUGAACAUCAAUUGCAAAAGGUCUCUCACCAAUAGGAAUGAAUGUAAGGCUACCCAUACUCACUGACUUUCUACUCAAGGCAUCAGCCACCGUAUUGGCCUCCCCAGAUGAUACAAAAUAGUAAUAUCAUAGUCCUUUAGCAUCUCCAACCAUCUCCGUUGCCUCAAAUUUAGAUCCUUUUGUUUGAAAAAGUGAUGGAGGCUCAGAUGAUCUGUAAAUACCUCACAAGACACACCAUAGAGAUAGUGCCUCCAAAUCUUUAAUGCAUGAACAAUGGCAACCAACUCCAAAUCAUGGACAUGGUAGCUCUUCUCAUGAGGCUUCAAUUGGCGCGAAGCAUAAGCAAUCACUCUACGCUCCUGCAUCAAAACAAACCCGAUACCGAUCCGAGAAGCAUCACAAACUGUGUAAGAACCAGAAGCUGAUGUGUAGAACUAGAACUGGAGUUGUGGUCAAGGCAGACUUGAGCUUCUGAAAGCUCUCCUCACACUCAUCCGACCACCUAAAAGGAACACCCUUUUGGGUCAAUUUGGUCAAGGAUGAUGCAUUAAACGAGAAACCCUGCACGAAGCGACGAUAAUAACCAGCCAACUCUAGAAAGCUCUGAAUCUCCAUAGCUGAGGACGGUUUGGGCCAACUCUGAACCACCUCUAUCUUCUUCGGAUCCACCCAAAUCCCCUCACUGGACAUGCGUGCCCUAAGAACGCCACUGAAUUGAGCCAAAACUCACAUUUGGAAGACUUGGCAUAAAGCUUCUCCUCCCUCAACCGCUGCAACACAAUCCUCAAAUGUUGCACAUGCUCCUCAAGCUACGAGAGUACACUACGAUAUCAUUGAUGUUACAAUGACAAUCGAGUCAAGAUAAUGCUGAAACACACUGUUUAUCAGAUGCAUGAAUGUUGUUGGGGCGUUGGUUAUCCCAAAAGACAUAACAAGGAACUUAUAAUGACCAUAAUGGGUCCUGAAUGCUGUCUUUAGAAUAUCUGAGUCCCGAAUCUUCAACUGGUGGUACCCUGAGCUCAAAUCAAUCUUGGAGAACACCCUCGCUCCCUAGAGCUGGUCAAAUAGACCAUCAAUAUGCGGAAAAGGAUACUUGUUCUUGAUUGUGACUUUGUUCAACUACCUAUAAUCAAUGCACAUUGUCAUAGUACCAUUUUUUCUUCACAAACAGAACCGGUACACCACAAGGUGACUCACUAGGCCUAAUAAAUCCCUUAUCAAGGAGUUCUUGAAGCUGCUCCUUUAACUCAGCUGGUACCAUACGGUACGGAGGAAUAUAAAUAGGUUGAGUUCCCGGCACCAAGUCAAUACUAAAGUCAAUAUCCCUGUCGGACGGCAUGCCUUGCAGGUCUACAGGAAAUAUAUCCGGAAAAUCUUACACCACCAGAACCGAUCCAAUAGUAGGGGUCUCAGCACCAACAUCCCUCAUAAAGGCCAAAUAAGAUAAACAACAUUUCCCAACCAUUCGCUUGGCCUUCAAGUAUGAAAUCACUCUACUGGGAAAAUAGUUUAGUAAACCUCGCCACUUAAUCCGUGGCAAUGCCGACAUCGCCAACAUCAUGAUCUUAGCGUGUCAAUCCAGAACAACAAGACAUAGAGACAACCAGUCCAUACCCAAUAUCACAUCUAAAUCAACCAAACUAAACAACAAGAUAUCAACUCUAGUCUCUAAUCCCCUAACAGUCACUACACACGAUCGAUAUACACGAUCCACAAUAAUAGUAUCUCCCACAAGCAUAGAUACAUGAACAGAUGAAACUAGACUCACGGGGCAUAUCCAGAUAAUGAGCAAAAUAUGAUGAUACAUACGAAUAAGUGGAACCAGGGUCAAAUAAUACAGAGGCAUCCCUAUGGAAAACUGAGACAAUACUUGUGAUCACUGUAUCUGAAGCAAUGCCAUCUGGUCUGGCGAGAAGAGCAUAGAAUUGGGCCUAAGCACCACCUGAUCGACAUCCAUGUUUAGGGCGACCUCUAGCUGACUAAGCCCCACCUCGAGCUAGCUAAGCGGGUGGUGUAACUGUUGGUGCUGAUGCCAUCGGCCGAGAACUCUGUUGUGGAGUCCCACUCAACAACCUAGGGAAAUUACUCUUGAUAUGACCAAGAUCUCUGCACUCGAAACAACCCUUCCUCUAACGAAAUUGUUGCUCCUAAUACCCAGAGGAACUACCCGUAGAAACCUAAGUGGAUGAGGUAUGGUGAGAACUCUGUGUUGGUAGUGUACUGAAUGAAGACUGUCCUGGGUGAGCACUGUAAGAACCAUGGCUAACUUAUGCAUCACGAUGAUCUGGUCAAGCCGUAUGAGCAUGCCUGUAAGGACGACCCCUACCGUGGUGGAACUGACCCCCGGAAGGAACACCACCAAAACUAGAUCCACGAGGCCUCUUGGCCUCCCUCUCAACCCGCUCCUGGCUGCAAAACAUCUCUAUAUGCCAAGCAAUAUCGACCACCUCAUCAAAAGUAGCACCAAAUACAUUCUCUCGAGUCAUAAGCAACUGCAACUGAUAUGUGAGGACAUCAAUGAACCUUCUGAUCCUCUCCCUAUUAGUGGGAACCAUCCAAAUCGCAUGAUGGGCCAAUUCAGAAAACCUCAUCUCGUACUGCAUCAUAGAUAUAUCAUCCUGACGUAACUACUCAAAUUGUCUACGUAGCUCUUGUCUACGAGACUGCAACACGAACUUCUCAAAGAAGAGAACGGAGAACUCCUGCCAAGUAAGUGGUGCUGCCCCAACCAGCCUACGCCUCUCAUAAGCCUCCCACUAUCUGAAGACAACCCAGAAAACUAAAAAGUAAUGAACGAGACCCCGCUGGUCUUUAGAAUACCUGUUUUAUGAAGAAUCCUCUAGCACUUGUCCAAGAAACCUUGGGCAUCCUCCGACUCUGCCCCAUUGAAAAAUGGAGGCUGGAGCCUCCCGAACCUCUCCAAUCUCCGCUGCUCAUCAUCAGUCAUAGCAGGAACCAUAUGGGCAUAAGUGGUUAUGCCCAAUGUCUGGAAUCCCUGCAUCACCUACUCUGGUGUGCGGGGGCGGGAGUCUAAGUACCUCCCCCAGCCUGAGAAGUGGUUACUGCGACCACCUGAACAAGACUGGUGCACAUGGUCAGAAUCUGAUCUAAGGCCUCCUGAAGGUCGGGAAUCACAAUGGGCACGGCUGGUGCCUGAGCUGGCCCCACUGGCUCCUCCACAACUGGAACUUGUUCCUGAACUUGGGCAACUGGUGGAUCUGCAGGUGCUGCCCUAGCUGCUAUACGAGCUGCACAUCUACCCCUAUCACGGCCUCUACCGUGACCUCAGCCUCUCGCAACCCUAGUUGGUGGUACUAGUGGUCGUCCAUGCUACCCAGUAGUACGUGUCCUCACCAUCUGUAAGAGAAUAAAAUAACAUAAUUUUAGCUACCAGAAUCAACAGAUUUGCACGACAAGAAUUCAAGAAUGUGAAGUUUCCAAAGGGUUCGGCAGCCUCUCGAAGAUAAGUACAGACGUCUCCGUACUGAUCCGCAAGACUCUACUAAACCUGUUUAUGACUCAUGAGACCUAUGUAACCUAGACUCUAAUACCAGCCUGUAAAAACUCAAAAUCCUAACGUGUCGUGAUGGCUCCUAACUUGAUACUAGGCAAGCCGACAUUUCCAAAAUAUUUCCAGCAAUUACCAGAAAAUGAAUCAAAAUAGUUUUAAAUAACAAAAGUUUUCAUAAAUGGGGUAAAAACCCAAAACACAAAAGGGAAAAAUUCCCAAAUCAGGGUGUCACUGAGCCGAUGAGAAUCUAUACAUCACCAGUAUAGAAAAGAAGUGUCUAUGAAAGUCUGGAUCUAAAUACAAUAAAAGAAAAGACAAGAAAGAAUAAACAAUUAAUGCGAAUGCCGGGCAGCUGCCUCAUAGCCUCUAAAGAUUAGUUGUGCACGAUAUCAACACCCAUCGUAUCCAGAAACACCUGGAUCUGCACACGAAGUGCAGGGUGUAGUGUGAGUACAACCAACUUAGUAAGUAACAAGACUAAAUAAAGAACUGAAGACAGUGGUGAGCUACGCAGUUAUAUUUCAUUUUCAGUAAUCUCAAAAAAAGAAAGUAGGCAUUCUUUCAAAUCCGGCAAUUUAAGUCAAAUCAGUCUAUACAAGCCAAGUGUAAGUAAAAACCAGAUAUAAUAUCUAGUAGAAGUUCAAAUAGUGAUAUAUGGUAGCUGUGUGCAAAAACAAAAAAAAGCAAAUAUAGCCUAUCAGGGCAACAGUCACUCAGACUUUCUCAAUAACUCAUCACUCGGCACUCAGCCCUCAACACUCGCACUCAAUAGGUACUUGCGCUCACUCGGGGUGUACAGACUCCGAAGGAGCUCCUACAGCGCAAGCGUUAUAUCCGCACGGAAAACUCACGUGAUGUAUGGAUAACUCACGUGCGAUAGUAUCAUAUCAGGAUCCGCACAGACAACUCACGUGUUAUAGUAUAAGUAUCUGGAUUUGCAUGGACAACUCAUGUGAUAUGGUAUCAAUAUAUCACAAUCAGGCCCUCGGCCUCACUUAGUCAUCAAUCUCUCUAGUCUCACGGGCUCUCAGUAAUAUGGAAAUCAACCCAAAAUAGAAAUGAUAUAACGUAUCAACAAGGAAUAACAGAGACUGAGGUAAGAUAUGCAAGUAAGACUACGACUGAGUAUAAGUAGCAAUUAGCAAGUAAUUCAACAAGCAUCACGACCUCUGUAGGUCCCUACAGUGCUGAUACAUAGCCUAAACAUGAUUUCUAACAUGAUUUACAAUCAAAUUCCUAUAACACAUGGAGAGCAUAUAGCUAACAAAGUUAUUCAACUAUACAGUUCCAUAAAAUGGACCAAGUCACAAUUCCCAUGGUGCAUGCCCACAGGCCCGUCACCUAUCAUGUGCGUCACCUUGAAAACAAUCAAAUAACCCAUAGUUCGAGGUUUCAUACCCUCAGAACCAGAUUUAGAACUAUUACUUACCUCAAUCCGAGCCAAAACUCUGCUCUAAUAUGCCUUUGCCUCGCAAAUCAGCCUCCAAAUGUCCCGGAUCUAGCCACAUGUAGUACAAUACAAUCAAUACGGGCUAAAGGAAUCAAUUCCACAAGAAAAAUAUGAAAUUAUGAAUCAAAUGGAAAUCGGUUUCAAGCCUGCCCCCGAGCCCAAGUCUCGAAAUCCAACAAAAGUCACAAAGAAAGCCCAUUCAAUCACGAGUCUAGUCAUACCAAAUUUAUCAAAAUCCGACAUCAAAUCGACACUAAAAUUCCCAAAAUUAACUCUCCAAAUACCUAGCCUCAAAUCCCCAAAUUACACCUCAAAAAUACACCAACUAGGUGGAAAAAUCAAUGGGAAAAUAUAAUUAUUGAAGAAAUUUAACCACAACUGACUUACCUCAAGAAUCCCUUCAAAAUCCCUCCCAAACAUCGUCCAAUUCCGAGUCCAAAAUGUAAAAAUGAAGCCAAAAAUUGCGUAACCUAGCAUUUAUAUGUUCUGCCCAGUUAAACCGCACUUGCGGUCCCAAAAUCCGCUUUUGCGGUAGAAACUCCGCGUCUCCGGAAGUCACUUAACCCAGCUGCCUCCGCUUCUGCGACACCUGACCCACAUCUGUGGCCUCGCAGGUACGGAAGAAUCUUCGCACAUGGGCCCCCAACUCAUCUCUUCCUUGCCCGCUUAUGCAGCUUAUUACCUGCUUCUGUGGGCUCGCAUCUGCGGUGCCUACUCCGCAGGUGCGAUUACACUAGCAGUGGAAGUUUUUCACCAACUUUACAACUUCAAAACUUGAUCCAUUAAUCACCUGAAAUCAACCCGAGGCCCCAGGGACCUCAACCAAACAUAUCAACACGUCUUAAAACAUCAUACGAACUUAGUCGAAUCCUCAGAUCACCUCAAACAACAUCAAAAACACGAAUUGCGUAUAGAUUCAAGCCUAAUGAACUUUGAAAUUUCCAAAUUCUACAAACGACAUCGAAACCUAUCAAAUCACGUCCAAUUAACCUCAAAUUUUGCACACAAGUCACAAAUGACACCACGGACCUAUUCUAACUUCCAGAAUCCUAAUCCAACCCCAAUAUCAAAAAGUUCACUCCCAAUCAAACUUCUCAAAUUUUUAACUUUCGCCAAUUCAAGCUUAAUUCCGCUACGGACCUCCAAAUCACAAUUCGGAUACGCUCCCAAGUCCAGAAUCACCCAACGGAGCUAACAGAACCAUCAUAAUUUAAAUCCGAGGUCGUUUACACAUAAGUCAGCAUCCGAUUAAUGUUUCCAACUUAAGCUUUCAAUUAUGAGACUAAGUGUCUCAAUUCAUUCUAAAAUCCUUCUAGAUCCAAACCAACUAACCCGGCAAGUCAAAUAACAACUGUAAAGCACAUAAGGAGCAGAAAAAUGGGGGAAUGGGUCUACAACUUUUGAAACGACCGGUCAGGUCGUUACGAUGAGGCCAGAGAAGGAGACACCAUUCUAUAAAGGGUGUCAUUAGAUAAUGUUUAACCAAAAAAAAUGUUAAACAAAAAAAUAUUAAACAUAUAAUAAAGUUGGAAUAGAAAAAUAAAAUCUUGUAUCUUCACAAUCCUAAAUUACAAUUACAUACAAAUAGGAUUGUGAUAAUAAAUCAGCGUCACGCACAGAAAAUCUUGCCUAAUCCACUGACAGGGCCUAGUGGAUGGCAUUCUCUAAAGGGCAAACACAAAACUAACUGGACUGAAAUUAAUUAUAUUCGCUAGUCAAAAAUUAUAUAUAUAUAUAUAUAUAUAUAAAUUAUACAUAUUAUCAGCAAUUAUUUUUAGAAGCAACUAAAAUAUACAUUUCUCUUGUCUAUAUGUUCGUAAUGAUGAUCUUCCGGAACGCAAGUGAAUCUUGCUUGUCAAUUGUCUUUUCUAUGUGUCAAGAUUUAAGAAUUUACUCAUGCCCAUUUGCCAUUUCGAUUGCAACUCAUUUUUUCUUUUUCUUUUUCCUUCUUUUAAGAUAUGUUAUGGUUUUGAUUUUUGGACAUUAUAAGAUUGUGGUUUCCUAGUGUUUGUGAGACACGAAAAUGUAAGAUAUAUUGAUCUCUUUAAAAUAGUUGGAAGAUAUUUGACUAUUUGAAUUGUGAAUACGAGACAGUUUUCAUUGGAAAAAUAGAAUAAAGAACUCCGACAUUGUUAAUGACUUAGUGAAUGAAAUAAUUAAGAAACAUAAAAAAUGGUUGCAGUUGGAGGGCAUUACUCACAUACUAAAUGCGGUUCAACCGGAAAAUCCUUUUGGCAUGCACCAAAAAGAUGUGGUGACAUGGGAAUUCUUUUGUCAGUUCAUAAAAUGUUUUGUUAAAAUUGUUAAGUUCUUUGAAUGAAUGUGAAUGGGAAAUGGAAGAGGUAACUUUUGAGUUGCACUGCUUUAUCUUAUUCUUUUAUUGUUUAUAAAUUUAGAGGCUUAGCCUCAUUUUUCAUAUAUGAAAAAUCUAAAAACUUCUUCUUUUUUGUCUACAUUGUUGCAUUAUUUUUUCAGAUAAACAUAAGUGUCAAGUGUUGCAUUAUUUUUGUCUACAUUGUUGCAUUAUUGUUGCAUUAUUUAAGGACACACAAGCAACUUGUGGGCUCGAAAUUAUUUUAUAUUUUUCCCAAAAGGCCAACACUUGUUUUAAAAAUAAAUUAUGUGUUUUGAGGCCUUAAAACCUCUUUUUUGUCUCACCUCAAUUUGUGUGCACAGUCCGAGCGUGUAUCCGAAAAGCCAUAAUGUGCAAAUCUGUGAAAUAUGGUGAAUUUUGCUUUUAAAAUAAAUUUAGGUUGACUUCGGUCAGCAUUUUGGGUAAACGGACUCGGAUCAGUGAUUUGACGGUCCCGAAGCGUCCGUAGAAAAAUAUGGGACUUGGGCAUAUGCCCGGAAUCGAAUUCCGAGGUCCCAAGCCUGAGAAAUGAAUUUUUGAAGAAAAUUAUUUAAUUGAAAAUUUUAGAGUUUUGGAAAUUUGAAUGUAAUUAAAUUUGAUAGAAUCGGGCCCGUAUAUUUGUUCCGGAUCCCGGUACAGGUCUUAUAUGUGAUUUAAGUCGAGCCUGUAAAAUUUGGUAGGAAAUGGACUUGAAAUGACGUGAAUCGGACCUUCGGUUGUUAAAAUUUGAACUUAAGAGUUCAUGAGAUUUUUCUUUGAUUUUGAUGCUAAAUUCAUAGUUAUUGGUAUUAUUUUGAUGACUUAAUCGCACGAGCCAAUCCGUAUGAUAUUUUUGGACUUGCGUGCAUGUUUGGUUUGGAGCCUCGAGGGCAGGAGCUUCACAAAUGCGAAGAGAACAGGAAUCCUCAGGGUUCGCAUUUGAUCGCAAGUGCGAGGAAAGCAGGUUUCUUAAGGGUUCGCAAUUGCAAACCCUGAUCGCAAUUGCGACAUUAGAGACCCGCUAAAAUGAAUUUCAGACGAGAUUUCAACCAUUUUUACAACCUUUUCAAAACCUAAACACCUUUGGGCGAUUUUUCAAACACAAGUACUCUUGUAAUCGAUUGUAAGUCAUUUCUAGCUCGUUUUCAUUAAUCUUUAACAUCUUUUCACAUGACUUCAACUCAAAAUCAAGGGUUUUCAUGGGGGAAAUUGGGUGUUUUGGGUAGAACUUAGGUUUUUCAAAUUUUAGGGAUUUGGACCGCGAUUUGAGGUCCGAUUUCAAAAACAAUUAUAUGAUUUGGGUUCGUGGAUGAAUGGGUAAUCAGAUUUUUAUCGAACCUCNNNNNNNNNNNNNNNNNNNNNNNNNNNNNNNNNNNNNNNNNNNNNNNNNNNNNNNNNNNNNNNNNNNNNNNNNNNNNNNNNNNNNNNNNNNNNNNNNNNNNNNNNNNNNNNNNNNNNNNNNNNNNNNNNNNNNNNNNNNNNNNNNNNNNNNNNNNNNNNNNNNNNNNNNNNNNNNNNNNNNNNNNNNNNNNNNNNNCAAGCGAAUUGGUGGUGGAAAUAAGAGGUAAAACGGUAAUUGAAACUUGAAUUGUGUUCGUGGCAUCGAGGUAAGUGUUUGGUCUAACCUUAGCUUGAGGGAUUAGGAGUUGUGUCUUAUUUGCUAUGUGUUAAUUGUUGAGUAUGACGUAUAGGCAUGGUGACGAGUAUCUAUACGUUGGUUUCAAACAUGGCCGUGAGUCUUAUACUAUGAUUAAUGUGAUUCCGUUUGUAUUGUUCAUGCCUUAUGUGAUGAUCUCUAUUGUUGAACAAGGCUUGUGAAAGUAAUAUUAGUAAUUGAACAUUGAAGAGAGUUGGCUCAAGUUGUAAGAUGGUUUGUGGAAGUAUUAUUGGCAAUUGAACAUUAUAGAGCAUUGGCUCAAGUUGUAAGAUGAUUUAUGGAAGUAUUAUUGGCAAUUGAAUAUUAUAGAGAAUUGGCUCAAGUUGUGAAUUGAGUUGUGAAGAAAACAUGAAAAGAGAAGAGGAUUAUGAUAUUGUCUCCCUUGUCGGGAUGUUAUUGCUUUUGAUAUUGUUUCUCUUGCCGGGAUAUGGUUGUUGUACUAUUGUGCCCUUGCCAGGAUUUUGUCGUGAUUUUGUUGAUUCCCUUGCCCUUAUUGCUUUGUGAUUGUUUAUUGGGUAAGGAAGAGUAUAAAAUCACGAAGGGUGAUGUCGUGCAUGAUAUUUGUGAGAGAGUGUUAAUGCACGAAGGGUGAUGUCGUGCCGCACGAUAUACCAUUCCAUUCCCUUAUAUGAGUGAUAAUGCACGAAGGAUCAUUCCGUGCCAUGAUUAUGUGAGGUAAAAGCACGAAGGUGCCGUGCCGAUUAUAUUGAUUCUUAUGAUGAGGAAGAGAGUAAAAGCACAAAGGGUGAUGCUGUGCGCUUGUCCUUGAUUUUCCUGAUUCUUGCUGAUAAUUGAGUUAUGGUGUUCUUUACGUUUAUUUACUAUUUUUCGGUUGCUACUUGAUUUUACUGUGACGUUAUUGAUUCCCUUACCCAAAUUGCUUUGUGAUUGUUGCUUGAGUGAGGAAGAGUGUAAAGCACGGAGGGUGAUGUCGUGCAUGAUAUUUGUGAGGGAAUGUUAAAGCACGAAGGGUGAUGUCGUGCAUGUUAUUUGUGAGAGAGUGUUAAAGCACGAAGGGUGAUGUCGUGCACUUGUCUUUGAUUUUCCUGAUUUCUAUUGAUAAUUGAGUUAUGGUGUUUUUUACAUUUAACUGUUAGUUUAUGUUGCGACUUGUUGUUCCCCGCAACAUGAUUCCCUCUUCCUAUCUUUAAUUGUAAAGUUUUGCUUUUAUUUUCCGCUGUGUAUGAUUUAGCUGCAUAUGUUUAGUUGGUAGUAUGGUCCUAGCCUUGUCACUACUUCGCCGAGGUAAGGCUAGGCACCUACCAGCACAUGGGGUUGGUUGUGCUGAUACUACACUCUGCACCGUGUGCAGAUCCCGGUACUGGAGCAUACGGAUCUGAGCUUUGGGUUGCUGCCUUCAGUCCAUUCAGAGAUCCAAGGUAGUCCUGCAGGCGUCCGCAGGCCUUGGUUCCUCCUUCUAUCCCUUCAUCCUGUUUCAUUUACGUAUUUUAGAGACAACGUUGUAUUUAUUUUUCAUACCCUUAUUUGUAGUAUUCCUAAGUCGUCUGUGAAAUUGUGACUCCAGUUCUGGGUAGUUUAUGUUUAAGGAUUUGUAUUGGUAAUAUUUAAAUGGUUAUAUUUUGUUCUUCCAC